GAUGAACGCUGGCGGCGUGCCUAAUACAUGCCAGUCGAGCGAACAGACGAGGAGCUUGCUCCUCUGACGUUAGCGGCGGACGGGUGAGUAACACGUGGAUAACCUACCUAUAAGACUGGGAUAACUUCGGGAAACCGGAGCUAAUACCGGAUAACAUGUUGAACCGCAUGGUUCAACAGUGAAAGACGGUCUUGCUGUCACUUAUAGAUGGAUCCGCGCCGCAUUAGCUAGUUGGUAAGGUAACGGCUUACCAAGGCAACGAUGCGUAGCCGACCUGAGAGGGUGGUCGGCCACACGGGAACUGAGACACGGUCCAGACUCCUACGGUAGGCAGCGGUAGGGAAUCUUCCGCAAGGGGCGAGAGCCUGACGGAGCAACGCCGCGGGAGUGAAGAAGGUCUUCGGAUCGUAAAACGCUGUUAUUAGGGAAGAACAAAUGUGUAAGUAACUAUGCACGUCUUGACGGUACCUAAUCAGAAAGCCACGGCUAACUACGUG
rnacentral:rRNA from 1 species